GGGGCGUGGCUGAGUGGCUGAAAGCGCCCGAUUGAAACUCGGGAGGCCUCGAAAGGGGCUCGGGGGUUCGAAUCCCUCCGCCUCCG
rnacentral:tRNA from 1 species